rnacentral:rRNA from 1 species
CACGUAGGGGGCGAGCGUUGUCCGGAUUUAUUGGGCGUAAAGAGCUCGUAGGCGGCUCAGUAAGUCAGGUGUGAAAACUCCAGGCUCAACCUGGAGACGCCACCUGAUACUGCUGUGGCUAGAGUCCGGUAGGGGAGCAUGGAAUUCCUGGUGUAGCGGUGAAAUGCGCAGAUAUCAGGAGGAACACCGGUGGCGAAGGCGGAUCUCUGGGCCUUACCUGACGCUGGAGGCGACGAAAGCUAGGGGAGCAAACAGG